GGCAAGCGUGAUCUCUUUGAAAACUUCGAGCAAGAACUCCUCGAUGAGACCGUCGCCCUGGUUCUAGCUGACCGUGGUGUUCUUGACUGGUGGGCGAAUUUGAAGGAUUCUUUGUCUAGACUCCUAGGACGUUUUGGUUCCAAAUUCAGUGACCUUUCAGCUUUUGUGCAGCAGUACGCAGGAGACCUGUGGGGAAAAGUGCGGGGACACUUCGAUAACGUCAAACUUGUUGCACAAGAGUACCUUGAGCACGCUAAGAAUGCUAGCCUGGCCGUCACCGAAGAGGUUGUCGAGUUCUUGAGACCCUACAAGCAGGAUCUUGGAAGCCUCUGGGGCCAAGUCGUGAAUGCCGCCAAUAUCGC